rnacentral:rRNA from 1 species
GACAGAGGAUGCAAGCGUUAUCCGGAAUGAUUGGGCGUAAAGCGUCUGUAGGUGGCUUUUUAAGUCCGCCGUCAAAUCCCAGGGCUCAACCCUGGACAGGCGGUGGAAACUACCAAGCUGGAGUACGGUAGGGGCAGAGGGAAUUUCCGGUGGAGCGGUGAAAUGCGUAGAGAUCGGAAAGAACACCAACGGCGAAAGCACUCCGCUGGGCUGAUACUGACACUGACAGACGAGAGCUAGGGUAGCGAAAGGG